CUCUGACCACCCGGUUCCCUACCUUCCCGUCCCACCCCGCUCUCCCCGGCCUUCCCUCCCUCCUCCUGCCCUCCGGGUUGCAGGCAGCUCCCUGGUUCCCGAGUACAUAGAAUUGGGUGGAUUGGGGUUGCGAGGCUCUUGGUCCAGAAUUCCGACCGAAAAGUUAGCCCAAGGCUCCCCCGGCGGGCACUUCCCAUCCCGGCGAGGCUGCGCCCCUCUUCCCUGCGGAGGCUCCAGCUCUGGCUCCCCUUCCCGUCUGCGUGCUUCGGAGGGGGACCUGAAACUCCAGCCCCGAACUCUGCCGGCAGCGCCCUUGGCUCGUCUCAUUUGGAGGACUCUUCUGCUCUUGAAAUUUAGCACAGAUAGAAAGGGCAGCAAUGCGUUUUAUUUUGGAUCGGAGAAACGAGGGCGCAAAAAGGACUGAGAGGGAGAAGUGAGAGAACAGGUUCGCGCUGAUGGGCAGGUGGAUGGAAGGUGGUUGGUUCAGAGCAGAAUUUCCCGUUUGGGUGCUCAGUGGUGAGUGGGUGUAAAGAUCAGGUGUCUUUACCUUUGAUAAAGGUAAAAGAUAAGUAGCACGCACAACCCAGAUCCAGGGAGGACAAGUGGGAGGUAUUUCUGCCUAAAUCCAGCACCCCAGCCAGCUCAGUGGCGAGGGGAUGUGAUUAUGCAGAGCGCAAAAUGCUUGUUUUCCCAGGAGGCAGGCCCACAAUAAAUAGUAGUUUAAGUGGCAAAGAGCAACUUGUUGCAUCCAAUCCUUCUAACGGUCCUGUGUUGUCUGCUUUAUUCCCAUUUUACACAUGAGCAGAUUGAUGUGGGUAGACUGAGGGACUUGACCAUGGCCAGCCAUACUGAGAUUCAAACCUCUGACUUUCUAACUCAUGCUGUAAUACAAUUUAGUAUUUGGGAGGCGGAAGGCAAC
rnacentral:lncRNA from 1 species